ACAUCUGUUGUCCUUGGCACACAAAAGGAACUUUUGUUGUAGUUUUUUGUUUGUUUGUUUGUUUUCUUAAGGAAAAAGAUGUGGCUUAAUUAAGCAGUAUUUAUAUUAAUUUGACUCAGCUGGGAUCUGGAAGCAACAAAUCAUAUAAUGCAGCCCAGUGAGCCUUUCUUCAGGUGUUUCUGCUUGUUGCAACCCCUUCAUCUGAGCUCUAAGACAGUGAGUUAUCAGAACAUUAUCUCUUUUUUCUUUUUGGUCUGCUCAGAACAUUUUGAACCAACAUUACCUCAGUGCAUUCUGAAUGACUGCAUUAUCUGAUCUUCAGGACUGUGAGCAGAAAUGAAAUGGCAUCUUCCACGAAGAAUUGCACCAUAGUACAACUGUCCCUGUGGUAAUAAGUCAAAAUGGAUGUAAAUGCAAAUCUUCAGAAGAAAAACCAAGAGUGUUUAAUUCUCUUUGAUUCCAGUGACACCCAGAUGCCUUAAUGCUUUUGAAAGUCUGUGUUUGAUUUUCCUCAUUAAGAAGAAUAGAUCAAGAAUAUUUUCUCCUUUUCUGAAUAACAGGAAACAUGAAAAAUUAAUCCCUGAUAGAUACAAGUUGGCUUUCUGAUUUAUAGACAGAAAGGGUGAUUAAAUCUUUCUGAUAUUUUGUCUGUUUGCUUGUAAAGUAAAAAUAAAAUAAAAGGACAUUCAUUGAGAUAAUAAGAUGAACUCUUAGAGCUGCAUUUGUUUCCAUUUUUUGUAUCUGCAGUAGAAAACUGUGAAAUUCGUGAAUAUAAUUCAGUAUUUUUAAUGAAAACUUGCAUUUCCUUGCAGUUAUGGGUGAGGCAUACUUUUAUGUAUUUUGACUUCAGCAAAUUCCAAAAAUUUUUGUAAAAAUAUUUAUAAGAAGCACAAAUGAAUUUUUGUCUCGUGUGGGCUUUAUUUUGGCUUAAGAAAGAUUUGGUUUCAGCCUAUGGUUAGUGACUCUUUCUACACCCUGUUUACCAAGAUAUAUUUCAACAACUGCAGUCCUCCAGAAUGAAAAUUCAGUGGUAGAAGUGUUAGCAAAUACCUAACCUUCAAUGAAUGUGAAGCAAGUUAGAUGCUAAAUUGAUAUUUGUGCCUCUGUACUCCUUUCUCUUCCAUCCCUUCUCUCUGUUAAAUACUUAAUUCCUAAUACAUCAAAGUUCUGUCACCCCAUGACUGAGAAGCAAGUGGAAUGUAGGGCUGGUGAACCAAUUGUAUUUAUAUAUAUAUAAAAGAAUUUUAACUAGAUUUUCAAAAAGCAAUAGGAUUAACAUUCAGUGUGUAAAACUUGAGCAAAAUGGAAGAUUUUCUUAUUCAGUGUGAGACAGAUAAUUGGCUCUGUCUGGGUUAUUCUAUUAUGUACCAAAGAAUACCUUUUAUCAAGAAAUAAUAAUCACCCAGAAAUUGGGUUGAACU